CCCUUAGAUGUUCUGGGCUGCACGCGCGCUACACUGACGCACGCAACAGGUGCCUGCUCCGAGAGGACUGGGUAAUCAUUUGAGUGUGCGUCGUGAUGGGGAUAGAAUAUUGUAAUUAUUACUCUUCAACGAGGAAUUCCUAGUAAGCGCCAGUCAGCAGCUUGCGCUGAUUACGUCCCUGCCCUUUGUACACACCGCCCGUCGCUACUACCGAUCGGAUGGUUUAGUGAGACCCUCGGACUGGUCCCGCUGUCGGACAGGCAACUGUUUGCAGCGCGUGCGCCGGGAAGAAGGUCGAACUUGACUAUCUAGAGGAAGUAAAAGUCGUAACA
rnacentral:rRNA from 1 species